GACAUCGUGCACUUAAAAUUUCAGAAGGACAAUCAGUUAUUCAUGGACUAUUUUAUUUUAGGAUUGCUCGGUCUGCUUGUAGCCAAGAACAGUCCUUUUACAGAUGCUUUACAAUGCUACAGUUGCAAGAAUAUCGCCAAUGUCAAUGAUUGCAAC